GACGAACGCUGGCGGCGCGCCUAACACAUGCAAGUCGAACGAGCGAGAGAGAGCUUGCUUUCUCGAGCGAGUGGCGAACGGGUGAGUAACGCGUGAGGAACCUGCCUCAAAGAGGGGGACAACAGUUGGAAACGACUGCUAAUACCGCAUAAGCCCACGGCUCGGCAUCGAGCAGGGGGAAAAGGAGCAAUCCGCUUUGAGAUGGCCUCGCGUCCGAUUAGCUAGUUGGUGAGGUAACGGCCCACCAAGGCGACGAUCGGUAGCCGGACUGAGAGGUUGAACGGCCACAUUGGGACUGAGACACGGCCCAGACUCCUACGGGAGGCAGCAGUGGGGAAUAUUGCACAAUGGGGGAAACCGUGAUGAAGCGACGCCGCGUGGAGGAAGAAGGUCUUCGGAUUGUAAACUCCUGUUGUUGGGGAAGAUAAUGACGGUACCCAACAAGGAAGUGACGGCUAACUACGUG
rnacentral:rRNA from 1 species